rnacentral:rRNA from 1 species
GAUGAACACUGGCGGCGUGCCUAAUACAUGCAAGUCGAGCGAACGGACGAGAAGCUUGCUUUUCUGAUGUUAGCGGCGGGCGGGUGAGUAACACGUGGAUAACCUACCUAUAAGACUGGGAUAACUUCGGGAAACCGGAGCUAAUACCGGAUAAUAUUUUGAACCGCAUGGUUCAAAAGUGAAAGACGGUCUUGCUGUCACUUAUAGAUGGAUCCGCGCUGCAUUAGCUAGUUGGUAAGGUAACGGCUUACCAAGGCAACGAUGCAUAGCCGACCUGAGAGGGUGAUCGGCCACACUGGAACUGAGACACGGUCCAGACUCCUACGGGAGGCAGCAGUAGGGAAUCUUCCGCAAUGGGCGAAAGCCUGACGGAGCAACGCCGCGUGAGUGAUGAAGGUCUUCGGAUCGUAAAACUCUGUUAUUAGGGAAGAACAUAUGUGUAAGUAACUGUGCACAUCUUGACGGUACCUAAUCAGAAAGCCACGGCUAACUACGUG